rnacentral:rRNA from 1 species
GCUUACGGCCAUACCACCCUGAGCACGCCCGACGUCGUCUGAUCUCGGAAGCUAAGCAGGGCUGGGCUUGUUAGUACUUGGAUGGGAGACUGCCUGGGAAUACCUGGUGCUGUAAGCC